GACGAACGCUGGCGGCGUGCCUAACACAUGCAAGUCGAGCGAUUCUCUUCGGAGAAGAGCGGCGGACGGGUGAGUAACGCGUGGGUAACCUGCCCUGUACACACGGAUAACAUACCGAAAGGUAUGCUAAUACGAGAUAACAUAAGAAAUUCGCAUGUUUUUCUUAUCAAAGCUCCGGCGGUACAGGAUGGACCCGCGUCUGAUUAGCUAGUUGGUGAGUUAAUGGCUCACCAAGGGGACGAUCAGUAGCCGACCGGAGAGGGUGAUCGGCCACAUUGGAACAGAGACACGGUCCAAACUCCUACGGGAGGCAGCAGUGGGGAAUAUUGCACAAUGGGCGAAAGCCUGAUGCAGCAACGCCGCGUGAGCGAUGAAGGCCUUCGGGUCGUAAAGCUCUGUCCUCAAGGAAGAUAAUGACGGUACUUGAGGAGGAAGCCCCGGCUAACUACGUGCCAGCCGCCGCGGUAA
rnacentral:rRNA from 1 species